UAUAUGUGCGUUGUCUUCAACAGUGGGUGCUUCCUGUCAGUUUGUAGACAGCAACCUAUUGUCUUGCCAACAGCCUAAGUUUUAUGGGGCUUUGCAUAGGACCCCUUUGGCCAACAACUCAGUUGAUUAUAACCCAAUCUUGGUACUGGAAGCUUCAUUUGGUAACAAGAGAUGGUCAAAUGGUGCUCCAUUUCCCUCAUUGUUUGGAAACUUCAUCGGGAUUGCUUUCAUAUAUUUUAGGAAGUUUCUACUACACUAGUUUCCUUGCUCCUCCCCGCCCCCCACAAUUCUACUGGCCUCUUCCCACAUUCCUUUCGUCAACCCCAUGUUUAAUUUGCAUUUCCCUGAUGGCUAAGGGUGCUAAACAUGUCUUCAUAUGUUUUCUGGGCCAUUUGAGUUUUCUCAUAUUAAGAAUUCUGUUUAGAUCUGUACCCUAUUAUUUUAUUGAAUUAUUUGGGGCUUCUUAUAUUUUUAUAUAUUUCAUUAUUUUAUAAAUUAUAUUUUUAUAUAUUUCAUUUAUUUUAUAAAUUAUAUAUAUAUUUAUAUACUUUAUAUAUUUUAUUUAAUAUAUAUAAAUUUAUAUAUAUUUUAUAUAUUUUAGUCCUCUCAGAUGUGGAAUUGGUUUUAAAAAAAAAAA
rnacentral:lncRNA from 1 species